rnacentral:ncRNA from 1 species
UUACACAUGCGAGUUUCCGCACCCCUGUGAGGAUGCCCUCAAAUUUCCUCGCCCGAAAACGAGGAGCCGGUAUCAGGCACGCACAAUAUGCAGCCCAAGACGCCUUGCUCAGCCACACCCCCAAGGGAUCUCAGCAGUGAUAGACAUUAAGCAAUGAGCGAAAGCUCGACUUAGUUACGGUUAAGCAGGGCCGGUUAAUCUCGUGCCAGCCACCGCGGUUAUACGGGUAGGCCCGAGUUGACAGACUUCGGCGUAAAGAGUGGUUACGGACCAAUACUACUAAAGUUAAACACCCCCCUCGCUGUAAUACGCGUCCGGGGACCGGAGACUCCACUACGAAAGUGACUUUAACACCCUUCCCGAACCCACUUAAGCCAGGGAACAAACUGGGAUUAGAUACCCCACUAUGCCUGGCCGUAAACUUUGAUUUGUUAUAUACAUGAACCAUCCGCCCGGGAACUACAAGCGCCAGCUUCAAACCCAAAGGACUUGGCGGUGCUUCAGACCCACCUAGAGGAGCCUGUUCUAGAACCGAUAAUCCCCGUUCAACCUCACCAUCCCUGGCUAUUCCCGCCUGUAUACCGCCGUCGUCAGCUUACCCUCUGAAGGCCCACAUAGUAAGCAAAACGGGCAUUGCCCCAAACGGCAGGUCAAGGUGCAGCGCAUGAGAUGGAAAGAAAUGGGCUACAUUCUCUAACUCAGAGAACACGGACGGUGUAAUGAAACAUGCACCCGAAGGCGGAUUUAGCAGUAAGAAGGAAAAACGAGCGUCCUUCUGAAGCUGGCUCUGAAGCGCGCACACACCGCCCGUCACUCUCCCUAUCACCCACAUUUCUAGUACCUAAACUAUGAAAGAAGCGUAGGGGAGGCAAGUCGUAACAAGGUAAGUGUACCGGAAGGUGCACUUGGACAAC